CUUCAACGGAGAGUUUGAUCCUGGCUCAGGAUGAACGCUGGCGGCGUGCUUAACACAUGCAAGUCGAACGAUGAUCCGGUGCUUGCACCGGGGAUUAGUGGCGAACGGGUGAGUAACACGUGAGUAACCUGCCCUUAACUCUGGGAUAAGCCUGGGAAAC
rnacentral:rRNA from 1 species